GACGAACGCUGGCGGCGUGCUUAACACAUGCAAGUCGAACGGAAAGGCCCCUUUGGGGGAACUCAGGGGGCAACGGGGGGAGUAACACGGAAGUAACCUGCCCUUGACUUCGGGAAAACUUCGGGAAACUGGGGCUAAUCCCGGAUAGAAAUCCUUGCUGCAUGGUGGGGGUUGGAAAGCUUCGGCGGUUUUGGAUGGACUCGCGGCUUAUCAGCUUGUUGGUGGGGUAGUGGCUUACCAAGGCUUUGACGGGUAGCCGGCCUGAGAGGGCGACCGGCCACAUUGGGACUGAGAUACGGCCCAGACUCCUACGGGAGGCAGCAGUGGGGAAUAUUGCACAAUGGGCGGAAGCCUGAUGCAGCAACGCCGCGUGCGGGAUGACGGCCUUCGGGUUGUAAACCGCUUUCAGCAGGGGCGAAGCUUGUGGUGACGGUACCUGCAGAAGAAGCACCGGCUAACUACGU
rnacentral:rRNA from 1 species